UAGUCAUAUGCUUGUCUCAAAGAUUAAGCCAUGCAUGUCUAAGUACAAGCCUCACUAAGGCGAAACCGCGAAUGGCUCAUUAAAUCACACCUAAUCUACUGGAUAGUUAACAGUUACUUGGAUAACUGCGGUAAUUCUGGAGCUAAUACAUGCACAAAGCCCCGAACUUACGUGAGGGGCGCUUUUAUUAGAUCAAAACCAAACGGCUUCGGCUGUAUCCUUGGUGACUCUGAAUAACUUUGGGCUGAUCGCAUGGCCUAGCGCCGGCGACAUAUCCUUCGAAGGUGUGCCCUAUCAACUGUCGACUGUGGCAUAGACGCCCACAGUGGUUUUGACGGGUAACGGGGAAUCAGGGUUCGAUUCCGGAGAGGGAGCCUUAAAAACGGCUACCACAUCUAAGGAAGGCAGCAGGCACGCAAAUUACCCAAUGACCGAAGGUCGAGGUAGUGACAAAAAAUAACGAUACGGGACUCAUCUGAGGCCCCGUAAUCGGAAUGAGUACACUUUAAAACCGUCCCCGAGGAUCUAUU
rnacentral:rRNA from 1 species